UGGGUAACCUACCUAUAAGACUGGGAUAAACUUCGGGAAACCGGAGCUAAUACCGGAUAAUAUUUCGAACCGCAUGGUUCGAUAGUGAAAGGUGGUUUUGCUAUCACUUAUAGAUGGACCCGCGCCGUAUUAGCUAGUUGGUAAGGUAACGGCUUACCAAGGCGACGAUACGUAGCCGACCUGAGAGGGUGAUCGGCCACACUGGAACUGAGACACGGUCCAGACUCCUACGGGAGGCAGCAGAU
rnacentral:rRNA from 1 species